ensembl:snRNA U6 U6 spliceosomal RNA
GUCUUCACAUUGGUAGCACAUACACUAAAACUGAAACAAUACAGAGAUGAUUAUCAUGGUCCCUGCACAAAGAUGACAUGCAAAUUCAUGAAGCCUUCCUUCCAUAU